GGGGGUGUUUGGUUUCGACAAAUUUAGUUCCUAAAAAUUGCAAGUUAAGCUCCGUCAGCUUAUAAAACCGACGGAAAAGUUAUAAGUGCAAACUUGUUCAAUCGGGCAAAGAAUGCGUUAGCUAGCGCUUUCGUUCCUUCUUUUGCCGCCGCUGUUGCCUAAUUGGCCCAGCCCGUCUUUCAUUUGAUUCCUGAUAAAAUGAAAAGGCGUCAUUAUCAGGAUGAGGAUUUGAUUGUUUCUUUUUCCAAUCACUUCCAAACGCACUUGAAAAGAUCGGCCAACUGUAUUUCGCCUUAUUUUAAGCAGUUUGCCUAAAAACUAAAAUAAGGCUAAACUUGUAGUAUGUUUUUGGGUACCAUUUUUGGACAUGGGUUCAAUUCCCAUCACCUCCACAA
rnacentral:tmRNA from 1 species